rnacentral:rRNA from 1 species
UACGUAGGGGGCUAGCGUUGUCCGGAUUUAUUGGGCGUAAAGAGCGUGUAGGCGGCCAGGUAGGUCCGCUGUGAAAGUCCGAGGCUCAACCUCGGAAUGUCGGCGGAAACCCUCUGGCUAGAGUCCGGAAGAGGAGAGUGGAAUUCCCGGUGUAGCGGUGAAAUGCGCAGAUAUCGGGAAGAACACCCGUGGCGAAGGCGGGGUCUCUGGGCCGAAAUGACGCUGAGGAGCGAAAGCGUGGGGAGCAAACAGG